AUUGAACGCUGGCGGAAUGCUUUACACAUGCAAGUCGAGCGGCAGCGCGGGGGCAACCCUGGCGGCGAGCGGCGAACGGGUGAGUAACAUAUCGGAACGUACCCAGUUGUGGGGGAUAACUACGCGAAAGCGUAGCUAAUACCGCAUACGCCCUGAGGGGGAAAGCGGGGGACCCUAAAUAGAGCGCACUGGGGAGUGCGUUGUAUUUAGGGCCUCGCGCAAUAGGAGCGGCCGAUGUCGGAUUAGCUAGUUGGUGAGGUAAAGGCUUACCAAGGCGACGAUCCGUAGCUGGUCUGAGAGGAUGAUCAGCCACACUGGGACUGAGACACGGCCCAGACUCCUACGGGAGGCAGCAGUGGGGAAUUUUGGACAAUGGGCGAAAGCCUGAUCCAGCCAUGCCGCGUGCGGGAAGAAGGCCUCGG
rnacentral:rRNA from 1 species